CAAGGAUGGGCCUGGACAGGAGUGGGUUCAGGAAUUCAGAGAAUGAAGUACCAUGCAAGCUUUAGAUACCAUCCCUUCUCUGGAAGGCAGCGAUGCCUGGUUCCAGAAGCUUCCGACAUACAGCAG